GGAUGAAAUAAAUUUACUUACAAUAAAUGUAACCUUUUAGGCAUUCUUAGUAUAAAUUUAGGUUAGUACU
rnacentral:tRNA from 1 species